UGCACAGUGAAAUAUACAUACAGGUGUCUCAGCAUAGAAAGUAGAGAGUGUUAUUCUUUCUCGCAACCUCGAUUCAGAACUAUGGAUGGCAGAAAAGCUAAUAUUUGCUUCGUGUUAUUGCUUUUGUUUCUUGGGAACCCUAGUUUUACAGCAGGUGAGUGUUGGGAAACUACUUCGAGUAGUCCUCUAUGUAUAGGUUUUUUGUGCAAGGCGACAUGCUGGAUUGGUGCCAAAGUAUGGAAAGCCAAGGUCAAGGUUCACAAGUGCAUGGGUUCUGCACUCAGUAGCAGUUGUUAUUGUUACUAUUGUGAUAACAAGCCGACCUAAAGAUAUAUAUUGUCUACAACUAUUAGCAAUGGAUAAAUUAAUGAUUUACUGCUUGUUCAGCUAGGGAAUGAAUAAGUAAACUCUAAAAUUUUAUAAGAUAAUUAGAUUUCUAAAGUUUAUGUAAUUCUUUCUUUGUUUGCAUGUAUUUUGCUAGGAAUAUUUAGUCCCUCGCUUAAUAAAUUUGUCAAUUGUGCCUA